GAUGAACGCUGGCGGCGUGCCUAAUACAUGCAAGUCGAGCGAACGGACGAGAAGCUUGCUCCUCUGAUGUUAGCGGCGGACGGGUGAGUAACACGUGGAUAACCUACCUAUAAGACUGGGAUAACUUCGGGAAACCGUAGCUAAUACCGGAUAAUAUUUUGAACCGCAUGGUUCAAAAGUGAAAGACGGUCUUGCUGUCACUUAUAGAUGGAUCCGCGCUGCAUUAGCUAGUUGGUAAGGUAACGGCUUACCAAGGCAACGAUGCAUAGCCGACCUGAGAGGGUGAUCGGCCACACUGGAACUGAGACACGGUCCAGACUCCUACGGGAGGCAGCAGUAGGGAAUCUUCCGCAAUGGGCGAAAGCCUGACGGAGCAACGCCGCGUGAGUGAUGAAGGUCUUCGGAUCGUAAAACUCUGUUAUUAGGGAAGAACAUAUGUGUAAGUAACUGUGCACAUCUUAACGGUACCUAAUCAGAAGGCCACGGCUAACUACGU
rnacentral:rRNA from 1 species